rnacentral:rRNA from 1 species
GACGAACGCUGGCGGCGUGCUUAACACAUGCAAGUCGAGCGAUGAAGCUCCUUCGGGAGCGGAUUAGCGGCGGACGGGUGAGUAACACGUGGGUAACCUGCCUCAUAGAGGGGAAUAGCCUUUCGAAAGGAAGAUUAAUACCGCAUAAGAUUGUAGCUUCGCAUGAAGUAGCAAUUAAAGGAGUAAUCCGCUAUGAGAUGGACCCGCGUCGCAUUAGCGAGUUGGUGGGGUAACGGCUCACCAAGGCGACGAUGCGUAGCCGACCUGAGAGGGUGAUCGGCCACAUUGGGACUGAGACACGGCCCAGACUCCUACGGGAGGCAGCAGUGGGGAAUAUUGCACAAUGGGGGAAACCCUGAUGCAGCAACGCCGCGUGAGUGAUGACGGUCUUCGGAUUGUAAAGCUCUGUCUUCAGGGACGAUAAUGACGGUACCUGAGGAGGAAGCCACGGCUAACUACGUGCCAGCAGCCGCAGUAA